UUAGAGCUGCACGCACAUUGGCACAGUGAGCGCUAGACAUACACAAACACACUUUUACAUACACUUUCACACACGGGGCAUUGACAUACACACAAACACGCACACAAAAAGCAUUAUUAGACAUGAAGUGAUUGGGAAUAGGAAGAGGAGUGGGAGGGGCAAUGACAGCUCUGAUGUUACUACCAGUUGACUUUCACUGAUGCCCCGCCUCCUGUUCAGUUAUCCCCACUCUUAUGGGAGUGGAAAGUGAAAAGGGUCAUAGACACACCCAAAUAGAAUACAAAUGCUGGAAACACACCUAAGCCAUUUUAUCAUGUGUGGUGCUCUAUUUGCCUGCCUGACAUUUGGCCACAAUGAGAUUCACUUAAUAGGACUUAGUAUAGAUCCAACCAAUAAUUAGAGAUACCCAGGUAAAAAAAAUCCCCCACUCUCAUAAAAUACAACAGCAGCAGUUACCAGUAAAAAAAUUAAAUGCAAGAAAAGAAAAGAAAGACAAAGCAUUGGAGAGAGACUGAGGGACAGGUGAGAUGGGUAAAGAAAGAAAAAUAUAUUUCUUUUUGUUUGCGAGGAGGAGUGAGUCUGUUGUCUUCUUAAGACGGGGGAGGGGGUGGGCAGCGAGGAUUCUAAGAACUUGCUGUUGUGUUCAUUCCAAUUGGGAGGGGAGGAAAAAAAGAAA